GCAAACUUGGUCAUUUAGAGGAAGUAAAAGUCGUAACAAGGUUUCCGUAGGUGAACCUGCGGAAGGAUCAUCACUGAUUCGGGGGCGUGGGAAGUCACGCCUCCAACCAAUCUUGUGUGAACCGUAACGAGCACUACGUGUGAAAAGGUUGGCGGUUCGGGGAGACCCGCCGCCAACGUCACACGCGUAUUAACUCCUUACAAUCUUGUCUAACAUUACACACCUAAAUUACACAACUUUUAACAAUGGAUCUCUUGGCUCUCGCAUCGAUGAAGAACGCAGC
rnacentral:misc_RNA from 1 species